rnacentral:rRNA from 1 species
AACGAACGCUGGCGGCAGGCCUAACACAUGCAAGUCGAACGCACCGCGAGGUGAGUGGCGCACGGGUGAGUAACACGUGGGAAUGUACCCUUCGGUUCGGAAUAACGUUUAGAAAAGAACUCUAAUACCGGAUGAGCCCUGUGGGGGCAAGAUUUAUCGCCAAAGGAGCAGACCGAGUCUGAUUAGCUAGUUGGGGGGGCAAAGGCCUACCAAGGCGACGAUCAGUAGCUGGUCUGAGAGGAUGAUCAGCCACACUGGGACUGAGACACGGCCCAGACUCCUACGGGAGGCAGCAGUGGGGAAUAUUGGACAAUGGGCGGAAGCCUGAUCCAGCCAUGCCGCGUGAGUGAUGAAGGCCUUCGGGUUGUAAAGCUCUUUCGCACGCGACGAUGAUGACGGUAGCGUGAGAAGAAGCCCCGGCUAACUUCGUGCCAGCCGCCGCGGUAAGAC